GAUGAACGCUGGCGGCGUGCCUAAUACAUGCAAGUCGAGCGAACGGACGAGAAGCUUGCUUCUCCGAUGUUAGCGGCGGACGGGUGAGUAACACGUGGAUAACCUACCUAUAAGACUGGGAUAACUUCGGGAAACCGGAGCUAAUACCGGAUAAUAUUUUGAACCGCAUGGUUCAAAAGUGAAAGACGGUCUUGCUGUCACUUAUAGAUGGAUCCGCGCUGCAUUAGCUAGUUGGUAAGGUAACGGCUUACCAAGGCAACGAUGCAUAGCCGACCUGAGAGGGUGAUCGGCCACACUGGAACUGAGACACGGUCCAGACUCCUACGGGAGGCAGCAGUAGGGAAUCUUCCGCAAUGGGCGAAAGCCUGACGGAGCAACGCCGCGUGAGUGAUGAAGGUCUUCGGAUCGUAAAACUCUGUUAUUAGGGAAGAACAUAUGUGUAAGUAACUGUGCACAUCUUGACGGUACCUAAUCAGAAAGCCACGGCUAACUACGUGCCAGCAGCCGCGGUAAUACGUAGGUGGCAAGCGUUAUCCGGAAUUAUUGGGCGUAAAGCGCGCGUAGGCGGUUUUUUAAGUCUGAUGUGAAAGCCCACGGCUCAACCGUGGAGGGUCAUUGGAAACUGGAAAACUUGAGUGCAGAAGAGGAAAGUGGAAUUCCAUGUGUAGCGGUGAAAUGCGCAGAGAUAUGGAGGAACACCAGUGGCGAAGGCGACUUUCUGGUCUGUAACUGACGCUGAUGUGCGAAAGCGUGGGGAUCAAACAGGAUUAGAUACCCUGGUAGUCCACGCCGUAAACGAUGAGUGCUAAGUGUUAGGGGGUUUCCGCCCCUUAGUGCUGCAGCUAACGCAUUAAGCACUCCGCCUGGGGAGUACGACCGCAAGGUUGAAACUCAAAGGAAUUGACGGGGACCCGCACAAGCGGUGGAGCAUGUGGUUUAAUUCGAAGCAACGCGAAGAACCUUACCAAAUCUUGACAUCCUUUGACAACUCUAGAGAUAGAGCCUUCCCCUUCGGGGGACAAAGUGACAGGUGGUGCAUGGUUGUCGUCAGCUCGUGUCGUGAGAUGUUGGGUUAAGUCCCGCAACGAGCGCAACCCUUAAGCUUAGUUGCCAUCAUUAAGUUGGGCACUCUAAGUUGACUGCCGGUGACAAACCGGAGGAAGGUGGGGAUGACGUCAAAUCAUCAUGCCCCUUAUGAUUUGGGCUACACACGUGCUACAAUGGACAAUACAAAGGGCAGCGAAACCGCGAGGUCAAGCAAAUCCCAUAAAGUUGUUCUCAGUUCGGAUUGUAGUCUGCAACUCGACUACAUGAAGCUGGAAUCGCUAGUAAUCGUAGAUCAGCAUGCUACGGUGAAUACGUUCCCGGGUCU
rnacentral:rRNA from 1 species